UAGUAGAAGUACGAGGACGCAUCCUUCGGGAAGCGAGCGUACACAGGUGCUGCAUGGCUGUCGUCAGGCUCGUGUCGUGAGAUGUUGGGUUAAGUCCCGCAACGAGCGCAACCCUUGUGUUUAGUUGCAAACAGGUCAAGCUGUGCACUCUAGACAGACUGCCGUGGACAACACGGAGGAAGGUGGGGAUGACGUCAAAUCAUCAUGCCCCUUAUGAUCUGGGCUACACACGUGCUACAAUGGCCGGUACAACGGGCAGCGAAGGAGCGAUCCGGAGCGAAUCCUAAAAAGCCGGUCCCAGUUCGGAUUGCAGGCUGAAACUCGCCUACAUGAAGUUGGAGUUGCUAGUAAUCGCGAAUCAGAAUGUCGCGGUGAAUGCGUUCCCGGGUCUU
rnacentral:rRNA from 1 species